GCGGGGUUAGCUCAGUUGGUUAGAGCGUGGUGCUAAUAAUGCCAAGGUCACAGGUACAAUCCCUGCUCACUGCA
rnacentral:tRNA from 1 species